rnacentral:rRNA from 1 species
ACGAAGGGAGCGAGCGUUAUUCGGAAUCACUGGGCGUAAAGAGCGUGUAGGCGGUUAAUUAAGUCGAUUGUUAAAUUCCCUGGCUUAACUAGGGAUCAGCAAUUGAUACUGAUUAGCUAGAGGGCAAGAGAGAGAAGUGGAAUUCUCGGAGUAGCGGUAAAAUGCAUAGAUCUCGAGAGGAACACCGGUUGCGAAGGCGGCUUCUUGGCUUGUACCUGACGCUAAAACGCGAAAGCGUGGGGAGCAAACAG